rnacentral:rRNA from 1 species
GAUGAACGCUAGCGAUAGGCUUAACACAUGCAGGUCGAGGGGCAGCAUGGUCUUAGCUUGCUAAGACUGAUGGCGACCGGCGCACGGGUGCGUAACGCGUAUGCAACUUGCCUCACAGAGGGGGAUAACCCGUCGAAAGACGGACUAAUACCGCGUACACUUGGGAUAGGGCAUCCUGACCCAAGGAAAUGAAAUUCGCUGUGAGAUAGGCAUGCGUCCCAUUAGCUAGUUGGUGAGGUAACGGCUCACCAAGGCGACGAUGGGUAGGGGAACUGAGAGGUUGAACCCUCACACUGGUACUGAGACACGGACCAGACUCCUACGGGAGGCAGCAGUGAGGAAUAUUGGUCAAUGGGCGAGAGCCUGAACCAGCCAAGUCGCGUGAAGGAUGACUGUCUUAUGGAUUGUAAACUUCUUUUAUACGGGAAUAACAAGAGCCACGUGUGGCUCCCUGCAUAUACCGUAUGAAUAAGCAUCGGCUAACUCCGUG